rnacentral:rRNA from 1 species
GACGAACGCUGGCGGCGUGCUUAACACAUGCAAGUCGAACGAAGUGGCGAACGGGUGAGUAACGCGUAAUCAACCUGCCCUUCAGAGGGGGACAACAGUUGGAAACGACUGCUAAUACCGCAUACUGAAGGAGGGGAUUGCGUCUGAUUAGCUGGUUGGAGGGGUAACGGCCCACCAAGGCGAUGAGCAGUAGCCGGUGUGGGAGGAUGAACGGCCCAAAUGGGACUGGGGCAAGGCCCAGAAUCCUACGGGGGGCAGCAGGGGGGAAUCUUCCGCAAGGGAGGAAAGGCUGACGGAGGAACGGCGGGUGAGUGAUGACGGCCUUCGGGUUGUAAAGCUCUGUUAAUCGGGACGCGGUACCGGAAGAGAAAGCCACGGCUAACUACGUGCCAGCCGCCGCGGUAAUUC